rnacentral:tRNA from 1 species
GGAGGAGUGGCCGAGCGGUCGAAGGCGGCGGUCUUGAAAACCGUUGAGCCCACGGGCUCCGGGGGUUCGAAUCCCUUCUCCUCCGCCC